rnacentral:rRNA from 1 species
ACGAACGCUGGCGGCGUGCUUAACCCCUGCAAGUCGAACGGAAAGGCCCUGCUUUUGUGGGGUGCUCGAGUGGCGAACGGGUGAGUAACACGUGAGUAACCUGCCCUUGACUUUGGGAUAACUUCAGGAAACUGGGGCUAAUACCGGAUAGGAGCUCCUGCUGCAUGGUGGGGGUUGGAAAGUUUCGGCGGUUGGGGAUGGACUCGCGGCUUAUCCGCUUGUUGGUGGGGUAGUGGCUUACCAAGGCUUUGACGGGUAGCCGGCCUGAGAGGGUGACCGGCCACAUUGGGACUGAGAUACGGCCCAGACUCCUACGGGAGGCAGCAGUGGGGAAUAUUGCACAAUGGGCGGAAGCCUGAUGCAGCAACGCCGCGUGCGGGAUGACGGCCUUCGGGUUGUAAACCGCUUUCGCCUGUGACGAAGCGUGAGUGACGGUAAUGGGUAAAGAAGCACCGGCUAACUACGUG